rnacentral:rRNA from 1 species
ACACGACUACAUUAGACUACCCCCGUAGUCCUGGCCGUAAACGAUGUGGACUUGGUGUUGGAAUGGCUCCGAGCUGCUCCAGUGCCGAAGGGAAGCUGUUAAGCCCACCGCCUGGGAAGUACGGUCGCAAGACUGUAACUUAAAGGAAUUGGCGGGGGAGCACCACAACGCGUGGAGCCUGCGGUUUAAUUGGAUUCGACGCCGGACAUCUCACCAGGGGCGACAGCAGAAUGAUGGCCAGGUUGAUGACCUUGCUUGACAAGCUG